GACGAACGCUGGCGGCGUGCUUAACACAUGCAAGUCGAACGGAAAGGCCCUGCUUGCAGGGUACUCGAGUGGCGAACGGGUAAGUAACACGUGGGUGAUCUGCCCUGCACGUCGGGAUAAGCCUGGGAAACUGGGUCUAAUACCGGAUAGGAGGCAGUUUUAGUGUAAUGGUUGGAAAGCUUUUUCGGUGUAGGAUGAGCUCGCGGCCUAUCAGCUUGUUGGUGGGGUAAUGGCCUACCAAGGCGGCGACGGGUAGCCGGCCUGAGAGGGUGGACGGCCACAUUGGGACUGAGAUACGGCCCAGACUCCUACGGGAGGCAGCAGUGGGGAAUAUUGCACAAUGGGCGCAAGCCUGAUGCAGCGACGCCGCGUGGGGGAUGACGGCCUUCGGGUUGUAAACUCCUUUCGCUAGGGACGAAGCUUUUUGUGACGGUACCUAGAUAAGAAGCACCGGCUAACUACGUG
rnacentral:rRNA from 1 species